ACAUGCAGUCGAACGGUAGCACAGAGAGCUUGCUCUUGGGUGACGAGUGGCGGACGGGUCAGUUAUGUCUGGGAAACUGCCCGAUGGCGGGGGAUAACUACUGGAAACGGUAGCUAAUACCGCAUAACGUCGCAAGACCAAAGUGGGGGACCUUCGGGCCUCACACCAUCGGAUGUGCCCAGAUGGGAUUAGCUAGUUGGUGAGGUAAUGGCUCACCAAGGCGACGAUCCCUAGCUGGUCUGAGAGGAUGACCAGCCACACUGGAACUGAGACACGGUCCAGACUCCUACGGGAGGCAGCAGUGGGGAAUAUUGCACAAUGGGCGCAAGCCUGAUGCAGCCAUGCCGCGUGUAUGAAGAAGGCCUUCGGGUUGUAAAGUACUUUCAGCGAGGAGGAAGGCAUUAGGGUUAAUAACCUUAGUGAUUGACGUUACUCGCAGAAGAAGCACCGGCUAACUCCGUGCCAGCAGCCGCGGUAAUACGGAGGGUGCAAGCGUUAAUCGGAAUUACUGGGCGUAAAGCGCACGCAGGCGGUCUGUCAAGUCGGAUGUGAAAUCCCCGGGCUCAACCUGGGAACUGCAUUCGAAACUGGCAGGCUAGAGUCUUGUAGAGGGGGGUAGAAUUCCAGGUGUAGCGGUGAAAUGCGUAGAGACCUGGAGAAAUACCCGUGGCGAAAGCGGCCCCCUGGACAAAGACUGACGCUCAUGUGCGAAAAGCGUGGGGAGAAACAGGAUUAGAUACCCUGGUAGGUCACGGCGUAAACGAUGUCGAUUUUGGAGCUGUGUCCUUGAAACGUGGCUUUCUGGAGCUAAACACGUAAGUCGACC
rnacentral:rRNA from 1 species